rnacentral:rRNA from 1 species
UACGAAGGGGGCUAGCGUUGUUCGGAUUUACUGGGCGUAAAGCGCACGUAGGCGGGUUGUUAAGUCAGGGGUGAAAUCCUGGAGCUCAACUCCAGAACUGCCUUUGAUACUGGCAACCUAGAGGCUGGAAGAGGUUAGUGGAAUUCCUGGUGUAGCGGUGAAAUGCGCAGAUAUCAGGAGGAACACCAAUGGCGAAGGCAGCUCGCUGGGACGGUACUGACGCUGAGGCGCGAAAGCGUGGGUAGCAAACAGG